rnacentral:rRNA from 1 species
AUUGAACGCUGGCGGCAGGCCUAACACAUGCAAGUCGAACGAGUGGCGGACGGGUGAGUAAUGUCUGGGAAACUGGCUGAUGGAGGGGGAUAACUACUGGAAACGGUAGCUAAUACCGCAUACCAUCGGAUGUGCCCAGAUGGGAUUAGCUAGUGGGUGGGGUAAAGGCUCACCAAGGCGACGAUCCCUAGCUGGUCUGAGAGGAUGACCAGCCACACUGGGACUGAGACACGGCCCAGACUCCUACGGGAGGCAGCAGUGGGGAAUAUUGCGCAAUGGGCGCAAGCCUGAUGCAGCCAUGCCGCGUGUAUGAAGAAGGCCUUCGGGUUGUAAAGUACUUUCAGCGGGGAGGCGUUACCCGCAGAAGAAGCACCGGCUAACUCCGUGCCAGCCGCCGCGGUAAUUC